AUGGCCGUGCCGGUGUGGUUCUUCUCGCUGGCCUCGCUUGGCGCUCUCCAUGUCGUUGCCAUCAGCUUCCGCCUCAUCGCCUACUUCUCGGUCUUCCACCGCCGGCCCAUUGACCUGCGCCGCCGGUACGGUGCCUGGGCCGUCGUCACCGGCCCAACGUCCGGCAUCGGGCGCUCCAUGGCCCUGGAGCUCGCGGAGAGGGGCCUCAACCUCGUCCUCGUCGGCCGCGACCCGCCCAAGCUCGGGGACAUCUCCGAGAGGAUCUCCAGGGCUCACGCCGCCGUGCAGACCAAGACCGUGCUGUUCGAUUUCUCCCUCGUCUCCACCGCGCAAGGCGACGAGGCGAUGCGGCGGCUCCGGGAAGCCGUGGCGGGGCUGGACGUAGGGGUGCUGGUGAACAACGCGGGCGUGGCGAAGCCGGGCGCGGUGUACCUCCACGAGGUGGACGUGGAGGCGUGGGUGAGGAUGAUACGGGUGAACGCGCUGGCCCUGACGGAGGUGACGGCGGCGGUGCUGCCGGGGAUGCUGCGGCGAGGGAGGGGCGCCGUCGUGAACAUCGGCCCCGGGUCAUCGUUCGGCCUCCCGUCCUACCCCCUCUACUCCGUCUACGUCGCCACCAAGCGGUACGUUCUUGAGUUCUCCAGGAGCCUCUCCGUGGAGUACAAGAGCAGAUGA
rnacentral:rRNA from 1 species